GAUGAACGCUGGCGGCGUGCCUAAUACAUGCAAGUCGAGCGAACAUACGGGGAGCUGGCUCCUCUAAUGAUAGCGGCGGACGGGUGAGUAACACGGGGAUAACCUAUCUAUGACACUGGUAUAACUUCGGGAAACGAGAUCUUAUACCGUAUAAUUGAUGAAAACACAGGGUUCAAUAGAAAAAUGCGGUUUUGCUGUCACUUAUAGAUGGAUCCGCGGCGCAUUAGCUAGUUGGUGAGGUAACGGCUUACCAAGGCGACGAUGCGUAGCCGACCUGAGAGGGGGAUCGGCCCCACUCGGAAUGAGAAACGGGUCCAACUCCUCCGGGGGGGGGCAGUAGGGGGACUUCCGCGAUGGGCGAAAGUCUGACGGGGCAAAGCCGCGUGAGCGAAGAAAGGGUUCGGGUCGUAAAAAUCUGUUUUUUGGGAAGAACAAAAAUCGUUCAAAUAGGGCGGUACCUUGACGGUACCUAACCAGAAAGCCACGGCUAACUACGUG
rnacentral:rRNA from 1 species